rnacentral:misc_RNA from 1 species
GAUGAAGAACGUAGCGAAAUGCGAUAAGUAAUGUGAAUUGCAGAAUUCAGUGAAUCAUCGAAUCUUUGAACGCACAUUGCGCCCGCCAGUAUUCUGGCGGGCAUGCCUGUCUGAGCGUCAUUUCAACCCUCAUGCCCCUAGGGCGUGGUGUUGGGGAUCGGCCAAAGCCCGCGAGGGACGGCCGGCCCCUAAAUCUAGUGGCGGACCCGUCGUGGCCUCCUCUGCGAAGUAGUGAUAUUCCGCAUCGGAGAGCGAUGAGCCCCUGCCGUUAAACCCCCAACUUUCCAAGGUUGACCUCAGAUCAGGUAGGAAUACCCGCUGAACUUAAGCAUAUCAAUAAGCGGACGA